rnacentral:lncRNA from 1 species
AAUCACAAAGGCAAAUAACGCCCCCUGUCAACUCUACAAAGUACUACCACUUACCAGUCAACACUGCGAUGAAGGAUGUGACUUGUCUUUUGCAUUCCUCACCUAACGACGGCAAGGAACUCCAAAGAAACCCGAUUGGAGCCGCGUUCUCGGAUGUGGCGAGUUUACAACCGGCGCAGAGGAAUGUGGAAAGCGAACUGCAAAUGUGGAUUGCAAAUCUGUUAGCGGGGGACACAGUGAUGCCUGAAAUGACCGCCCUGGACAUGGCCCAGCCUCGGCCGGCGGUGCUUCUGGUUUCGUUCCCCUCUGGGAGCCGAGAUGAGCUCAGCCCAGGUGUGGGCUCCUGUGCAGAUGCUGUCUGCUGACUCUCAGUGCUGUAGUGCAGAUGACUUUGCAGUCCAGAAGCCAAAAUGGUGCCCCAUCUACUCUGCUGAGUCAUUUUGUGGUUUUCCAUUUCUUUUUAAUAACUUAGAGCUUGUAGCCAACACAUUCCUCUUCCUCAACCUUCCUCCUCUAUGAAAAGCACGUUUAUGCUUUCAUCAGAUCAAUCCUUUCUAUUUGUUUUGGUUUCUUCUAUUUCUGAAGUUUGUUCAAUACGCUGUAAUUUUGGGAAAGAAUGAAAUGAUCUGACACUUUGAAUAAUACACUGAAUGAAAGCAGGCAGCCUGUUGUUUUCAGUCCUGCAGAACACUAAAUGGUAAAUGUCUGCAAUUAUGUUCAUAACCACUCAAAUCAGAAACUACCAAAACAAAAACACAGUUCUGUAGCACAGCAUGUUAAGCUUAUUUUGUGGUACAAUAUGAACUGCAAUUAAAAGACACUGAAAUGCAGUCUCUUAUUCAGUUGAAACAUACAGUGCACUUAGGCUCCAGGUAUUUGUAAACAGCUUUGUGUACAUAAUCAACACUGUGCAUUUGUAGGAGCUUUAAUACUAAAUCUGUGCUUCACAAAACAGGAAAAUUGUUUCUAAUAAAGCACCAGAGAGUUGAACAUCUAUGAUACAGUAAGCCAAGCCGCCAGAACUGACAGCUUUAAUAUGACUUAUUGUGUGCUUAUGUGUACAUAUGUGGGAUUCAUCUCUUUUAAUAAACCUUUUUUCGGGGGUUCAGCUGGUUACCUGUUGCACCUCUUGGUUCAUUUGCAGCAGGAGAUUGGAAUCAUUCCUGGACACUCCAGGGCAAUUCCAGAAUGUCUUAGAUGUCUAGUAAGGAGAAAUCAGCAAUGCAACACAAUAUAAAUAGAUCUACUGUAGAAUAUAUCUACACUUCUGAAAAAUAUGCCACUAAUAAUUACUGUUGACUGAGAAUAUUUGCCGGAGAAGACAGCCCAUCACACAUUAAAAACACGGAUGCUGAGCGAAACAGCGCCGCAAGGACAGCUCAGAAUAAACAGAGCAAUCUGUGACGCACUUGGAAACGAAGAUGCUGCAAGGGCCCCUGUGUAGAUACUUCAACAAUCAGGAGACAGAGAGAGAGAGAGACGUGCUGCACUCCAGGAGGAACACUCAAAGGGAAAUCUAUUAUUCACCACACCAGCUUACAGGCAGCCGGACUGCAUCAUCAGGCAGGCAAGGGCUCAUCACAGGACGGCGCUCUGCUGUGCAGCACGUUAUUUAUGUAUUGAGAAAUAACAUGCAUUUUAUAUAUAUAUAUAUGUUUGGCCCCCUCGCCCCUCUGAAAAUAACUACAAAAUUGAAAAACAGCACAGGCAUUGUAUAACACAAACAGUAGCGACACACCUGAUGAGGCUCCAGCAGAGGUGCUGUUAAUUCAUCCUCCUGGUGUGGAGGAGACCUCUGCUUGUUCAGCCCUCUUCUCCCAUUCAGGCCGAACUGGUGACUGACACCACUGCAAAUAAAAAAACUGAGUUUUUAUGUUUAAUAUAUUUACCAGUAUGUAAUA